GACGAACGCUGGCGGCGUGCUUAACACAUGCAAGUCGAACGUGAUUUUUGUGGAAAGCCCUUCGGGGACGGAAAUGAAAUGAAAGUGGCGAACGGGUGAGUAACACGUGAGCAACCUACCUUACACAGGGGGAUAGCCGUUGGAAACGACGAUUAAUACCGCAUGAGACCACAAAGCCACAUGGCUUAGGGGUAAAAGAUUUAUCGGUGUAAGAUGGGCUCGCGUCUGAUUAGCUAGUUGGAAGGGUAAAGGCCUACCAAGGCAACGAUCAGUAGCCGGUCUGAGAGGAUGAACGGCCACAUUGGAACUGAGACACGGUCCAAACUCCUACGGGAGGCAGCAGUGGGGAAUAUUGCACAAUGGGGGGAACCCUGAUGCAGCGACGCCGCGUGAGCGAAGAAGGUUUUCGAAUCGUAAAGCUCUGUCCUAUGAGAAGAUAAUGACGGUAUCAUAGGAGGAAGCCCCGGCUAAAUACGUGCCAGCAGCCGCGGUAAUACGUAUGGGGCGAGCGUUGUCCGGAAUUAUUGGGCGUAAAGGGUACGUAGGCGGCCUUUUAAGUCAGGUGUGAAAGCGUGAGGCUUAACCUCAUUAAGCACUUGAAACUGGAAGGCUUGAGUGAAGGAGAGGAAAGUGGAAUUCCUAGUGUAGCGGUGAAAUGCGUAGAUAUUAGGAGGAAUGCCGGUGGCGAAGGCGACUUUCUGGACUUUUACUGACGCUCAGGUACGAAAGCGUGGGGAGCAAACAGG
rnacentral:rRNA from 1 species